UAUAAGUAGAUGUGCUCGACCCUUCAAAUGCAGUCAGAUAGCGCGGCGGUCCAGCGCGUACUGCGGAUGUGGUCACUGAAAGCGGAUUUAGUUUAUAUGCUGUAAAGAGUGGCAAGUUUGAGCUUUUGAAUGCAGGUGUACUUGCUAUGAGAGUUUGUUGUCGAAAUUGGCUGAAGUAUUCAUUGUUGAUUUAGGAUAUGUGGAGUGGUGCUGUUUCAUGAUGGCAUCUGCAGUACACUGGUUAGCCACACUUUUGUUGUUGGCUUUGUGCCAUUUAACUGUUGUGAGGGCUGUUGAAUUCAGUGUUGAUAGUACUGUGUUUUAGGGGUUUGCAAAUGAGUGAUGUAUAUAAUAAGGUAGAAGUGUAGAUUCAUUUUGUUAGUGAAUUAUUUUAGUUAAAAUGUUGCCUUAAGUGUAUGUUGUGCUGUAUGUUCAAAACUAGUUGAUAAAUUGUUGUACUGUACAAGUGCAGUGAGUGUAACUGUACUGGAGUUUGUGUCUGAAGUAUUGUAAGUGUUUGGUCAUGUUUCCUAAUAAAAUAUUUAUGAAUUGA